GACGAACGCUGGCGGCGCGCUUAACACAUGCAAGUCGAACGGAAAGGCCUGCUUUCCCUUGUGGAUUGCGGGUACUCGAGUGGCGAACGGGUGAGUAACACGUGAGUGAUCUGCCCCCAACUUGGGUAUAAGCCUGGGAAACUGGGUCUAAUUCCCGAUAGGACUGCAGGGUGGUGCCUGUGGUGGAAAACGAUUUUCUAGUGGUUGGGGAUGAGCUCGCGGCCUAUCAGCUUGUUAGUGGGGUAAUGGCCUACCAAGGCGGCGACGGGUAGCCGGCCUGGGAGGGUGGACGGCCACAUUGGGACUGAGAUACGGCCCAGACUCCUACGGGAGGCAGCAGUGGGGAAUAUUGCACAAUGGGCGGAAGCCUGAUGCAGCGACGCCGCGUGGGGGAUGACGGCCUUCGGGUUGUAAACUCCUUUCGACCGCGAGGAAGCCACCUGGUUGGAAGGGUGGUGACGGUAGUGGUAGAAGAAGCACCGGCUAACUACGUG
rnacentral:rRNA from 1 species